rnacentral:misc_RNA from 1 species
GAUGAAACGUAGCGAAAUGCGAUAAGUAAUGUGAAUUGCAGAAUUCAGUGAAUCAUCGAAUCUUUGAACGCACAUUGCGCCCGCCAGUAUUCUGGCGGGCAUGCCUGUUCGAGCGUCAUUUCAACCCUCAAGCCCCCGGGCUUGGUGUUGGGGAUCGGCGUGCCCUCGCGGCGCGCCGUCCCCUAAAUCUAGUGGCGGUCUCGCUGUAGCUUCCUCUGCGUAGUAGCAACACUCGCACUGGAUCGCAGCGCGGCCACGCCGUUAAACCCCCCACUUCUGAAAGUUUGACCUCGGAUCAGGUAGGAAUACCCGCUGAACUUAAGCAUAUCAAUAAGCGGAGGA